GACGAACGCUGGCGGCGUGCUUAACACAUGCAAGUCGAACGGAGUGGCGAACGGGUGAGUAACGCGUGAGUAACUGCCCCCCUCUCUGGGAUAACAGUUGGAAACGGCUGCUAAUACCGGAUAGUGGGGGGGGACUCGCGUCCUAUCAGCUGGUUGGUGGGGUAGUGGCCUACCAAGGCGACGACGGGUAGCCGGCCUGAGAGGGCGACCGGCCACAUUGGGCUGAGAUACGGCCCAAACUCCUACGGGAGGCAGCAGUGGGGAAUAUUGCACAAUGGGGGAAACCCUGAGGCAGCAGCGCCGCGUGCGGGAUGACGGCCUUCGGGUUGUAAACCGCUUUCAGCUAUGACGCGGUAGUGGCAGAAGAAGCACCGGCUAACUACGUGCCAGCAGCCGCGGUAAUAC
rnacentral:rRNA from 1 species